UCUCCGUUGGUGAACCAGCGGAGGGAUCAUUACCGAGUGCAAACUCAUAACCCUUUGUGAACCUAUAUCUGAUGCUUCGGCGGCUCGCUCUCGGGCGAGCCCGCCGGUAAUAUCAGUAUCUCUGUUUGAACCCGACGAUACUUCUGAGUGUUCUUAGCGAACAGUUAAAACUUUUAACAACGGAUCUCUUGGCUCUA
rnacentral:misc_RNA from 1 species